GCCGGUGGCCUAACCCUUUUGGGAUGGAGCCGUCUAAGGUGAGGCUCGUGAUUGGGACUAAGUCGUAACAAGGUAGCCGUACCGGAAGGUGCGGCUGGAUCACCUCCUUUCUACGGAG
rnacentral:rRNA from 1 species